rnacentral:rRNA from 1 species
GAGUUUGAUCCUGGCUCAGAACGAACGCUGGCGGCAUGCCUAACACAUGCAAGUCGAACGAGACCUUCGGGUCUAGUGGCGCACGGGUGCGUAACGCGUGGGAAUCUGCCCUUGGGUUCGGAAUAACAGUUAGAAAUGACUGCUAAUACCGGAUGAUGACUUCGGUCCAAAGAUUUAUCGCCCAAGGAUGAGCCCGCGUAAGAUUAGGUAGUUGGUGGGGUAAAGGCCUACCAAGCCGACGAUCUUUAGCUGGUCUGAGAGGAUGAUCAGCCACACUGGGACUGAGACACGGCCCAGACUCCUACGGGAGGCAGCAGUGGGGAAUAUUGGACAAUGGGCGAAAGCCUGAUCCAGCAAUGCCGCGUGAGUGAUGAAGGCCUUAGGGUCGUAAAGCUCUUUUACCCGGGAUGAUAAUGACAGUACCGGGAGAAUAAGCCCCGGCUAACUCCGUGCCAGCAGCCGCGGUAAUACGGAGGGGGCUAGCGUUGUUCGGAAUUACUGGGCGUAAAGCGCACGUAGGCGGUUAUUCAAGUCAAAGGUGAAAGCCCGGGGCUCAACCCCGGAACGGCCUUUGAAACUAGAUGACUAGAAUCUUGGAGAGGCGAGUGGAAUUCCGAGUGUAGAGGUGAAAUUCGUA